GUACGUGUAGCUCAGCUGGAUAGAGCGUCUGGCUACGGACCAGAAGGUCGCGUGUUCGAAUCAUGUCACGUACA
rfam:Clostridium phytofermentans ISDg, complete genome.